UUUUAACUAAAAAACCCUUACCUGCCUUUGCCAUCCACGGAACUUUCCAAAGAGAGAUGGGUCCCUUUGGGAAUUCUGAGACAGGUGCAGCAGGGGCGUGGUCAGCUCGUGUUGGGAAAUUUUGGGUUAAGUCCCGCAACGAGCGCAACCCUUAUCCUUGUUUUCCGGCGGUUAGGCUGGGCACUCUAAGGAGACUGCCGGUGAUAAACCGGAGGAAGGUGGGGAUGACGUCAAGUCAUCAUGGCCCUUACGGCCAGGGCUACACACGUGCUACAAUGGCCCAUACAAAGAGAAGCCACCUCGCGAGAGCAAGCUAAUCCUCAUAAACCUCGGUCGUAGUCCGGAUCGCAGUCUGCAACUCGACUCCAUGAAGUCGGAAUCCAGGAUAGUAAUCGCGGAUCAGAAUGUACGCGGGAAUACGACAUU
rnacentral:rRNA from 1 species